rnacentral:rRNA from 1 species
UACGUAGGGGGCUAGCGUUGUCCGGAAUCAUUGGGCGUAAAGCGCACGUAGGCGGAUCGAUCAGUCAGGGGUGAAAUCCCAGAGCUCAACUCUGGAACUGCCUUUGAUACUGUCGAUCUGGAGUAUGGAAGAGGUGAGUGGAAUUCCGAGUGUAGAGGUGAAAUUCGUAGAUAUUCGGAGGAACACCAGUGGCGAAGGCGGCUCACUGGUCCAUUACUGACGCUGAGGUGCGAAAGCGUGGGGAGCAAACAGG